CAGCACCUCAAGUGGUCAGGAUGAUUAUUGGGCCUAAAGCAUCCGUAGCCGGCGCUGUAAGUUUUCGGUUAAAUCUGUACGCUCAACGUACAGGCUGCCGGGAAUACUGCAGCGCUAGGGAGUGGGAGAGGUAGACGGUACCCGGUAGGAAGGGGUAAAAUCCUUUGAUCUAUUGAUGACCACCUGUGGCGAAGGCGGUCUACCAGAACACGUCCGACGGUGAGGGAUGAAAGCUGGGGGAGCAAACCGGAUUAGAGACCCGAGUAGUCC
rnacentral:rRNA from 1 species